GUAUAGCGAUAGCUAAUUGCACUAAAAAACAGUUUAUGCAAUAUCGACUCAGUCGAAUAAAAUUCUAGGUAGAAUUAUGAUGAUGACAUUGUCUGCCUAUGUGUCUUGACCAAAUUACGUGCCAGCAGUCGCGGUAAUACGUAGAAGACUAGUGUUAUUCAUCUUUAAUAGGUUUAAAGGGUACCUAGACGGUAAAUCAAGCCUUCAAGGGGACUAAUUUACUAGAGUUACUUGUGAGGGGGUAUUAAAGUACUGCUGGUGUAGAGAUGAAAUUCUGUGAUACCUCUUUUAGACAUGAAAAUAAUGGCACAGGUAUAGGCGAAAGCAUCCCCUUAUGUGAUAACUGACGUUGAAGGACGAAGGCUUUGUGUAGCGAACAGGAUUAGAUACCCCAGUAGUCAAAGCAGAAAAUGAUGAAUGUCAUAGAUUAGGUAAUAGUUUAUUCUAUAAAUGAAAGUGUAAGCAUUCCACCUCAAGAGUAAUUUGGCAACAUUGGAACUGAAAUCAUUAGACCGUUUCUGAAACCAGUAGUGAAGUAUGUUGUUUAAUUUGAUAAUCCGCAAAAAACCUUACCACAAUUUGAAUAUUUAUAUUAAUUUACAAGCGUUGCACGGCUGUCUUCAGUUAAUGUCGUGAGAUUUUGGUUAGUUCCAUUAAAUUAACGUAAACCCUCACUUUAUUUUUAUAUAAAGUAGUUCCCCACUAGAUUGGAUAAGAUAACA
rnacentral:rRNA from 1 species